rnacentral:rRNA from 1 species
GACAGAGGGUGCAAACGUUGUUCGGAAUUACUGGGCGUAAAGCGUGUGUAGGCGGUUUUCUAAGUCGGAUGUGAAAUCCCUGGGCUCAACCCAGGAAGUGCACUCGAAACUGGAGGGCUAGAGUAUCGGAGAGGUUGGUGGAAUUCUCGGUGUAGAGGUGAAAUUCGUAGAUAUCGAGAGGAACACCGGUGGCGAAGGCGGCCAACUGGACGAAUACUGACGCUGAGACACAAAAGCGUGGGGAGCAAACAGG